rnacentral:lncRNA from 1 species
CUCUUUUUGAAUUUUAAUUUCAUGUUUUUAUUGAUUUUUACAUCUUUUUAUUGAUUUUUGGACUAAACUGCUAUUAAUAUUUGGAAGGCAUUUCCAAGAACCUUCUAGACCACAUGAAAAUAUAGAAAAACAAGAUGAUACCCCGCGCGUUGCGGCGGGACUCGUAGCAAUUUUAGUGGACAAUUGAUAAAAUGACCAACAUAAUGAUGAAAUAAAAAAAAAGGUACAGUUCUGAAAAAUAUUAGAAAUACAUGUAUAAAUUACAUAUAGUAAGUAGAUAAUAGAGUACAUUACUUAUAUAGUUUAGAAAUUAACACCAGCAA